AGAAUCAACGCUGGCGGCGUGCCUAACACAUGCAAGUCGAACGAGAAAGGGUAGCAAUACCUGAGUAAAGUGGCGCACGGGUGAGUAACACGUGACUAACCUACCCUGGAGUGGGGGAUAACUGAGGGAAACCUUAGCUAAUACCGCAUAACACCUACGGGUCAAAGGAGCAAUUCGCUUCAGGAGGGGGUCGCGGCCGAUUAGUUAGUUGGCGGGGUAAUGGCCCACCAAGACAGUGAUCGGUAUCCGGCCUGAGAGGGCGCACGGACACACUGGAACUGAAACACGGUCCAGACUCCUACGGGAGGCAGCAGUGGGGAAUUUGCGCAAUGGGGGAAACCCUGACGCAGCAACGCCGCGUGGAGGAUGAAGUACUUCGGUACGUAAACUCCUUUCGAUCGGACGAUAAUGACGGUACCGGAAGAAGAAGCCCGGCUAACUUCGCGCCAGCAGCCGC
rnacentral:rRNA from 1 species